rnacentral:rRNA from 1 species
CAGGACGACGCUGGCGGCGUGCUUCAUACAUGCAAGUCGAACGAGAAGCUGACUUCGGUCAGUGGAAAGUGGCGACGGGUGAGUAAUAUGUAGAGAAUCUGCCCUUGAGUGGGGGACAACAGAGGGAAACUUCUGCUAAUACCCCAUAUGAGCUAACUUGAAAUAGUUAUCUUGAAAACUCCGGUGCUCAAGGAUGAGUCUGCAUCUGAUUAGCUAGUUGGCGGUGUAAUGGACCACCAAGGCGACGAUCAGUAGCUGGUUUGAGAGGAUGAUCAGCCACAAUGGGACUGAGACACGGCCCAUACUCCUACGGGAGGCAGCAGUAGGGAAUUUUGCGCAAUGGGCGAAAGCCUGAACCGCAGCAACGCCGCGUGAACGAUUAAGCCCUUCGGGGUGUAAAGUUCUGUCAGUAGGGACGAAUUUUGACGGUACCUACAGAGGAAGCACCGGCUAACUCCGUGCCAGCAGCAGC